GGGGGGGCGGCUGACUAGGCAUGCAGUCGAACGCGAGCUCUCUCCUCCGGGAGGGAUGCUCGAGUGGCGGACGGGUGAGUAAGGCGUUCCUGACGUGGCCCGAGGUGGGGGACAACCCGGGGAAACCCGGGCUAAUACCCCAUAAUCCCGUCGGCCCGCCGGGGCCGGCGGGCAAAGCUCCGGCGCCUCGGGAUCGGGGAACGUGGUAUCAGGUAGUUGGUAGGGUAAGGGCCUACCAAGCCCAAGACGCCUAGCGGGUGUGAGAGCAUGGCCCGCCACAUCGGGACUGAGACACUGCCCGGACUCCUACGGGAGGCUGCAGCCGCGAAUCUUCGGCAAUGCGCGCAAGCGUGACCGAGCAAUGCCGCGUGCGGGACGAAUCCCUUCGGGGUGUAAACCGCUGUCAGGGUCCAGGAAGGCCUGACCGGACCCAGAGGAAGGGCCGGCUGACUUCGUGCCAGCAGCCGCGGUAAUACGAAGGGCCCAAGCGUUAGUCGGAGUCACUGGGCUUAAAGGGUGCGCAGGCGGGGAUGUGCGUGUCUUGUGAAAGCCCACGGCUCAACCGUGGAAGGGCAGGGCAUACGACAUCCCUUGAGGCCGGCAGAGGGUGCCGGAACUCUAGGUGUAGCGGUGAAAUGCGUAGAUAUCUAGAGGAACACCGAUGGUGAAAGCAGGCACCUGGGCCGGACCUGACGCUGAGGCACGAAAGCGUGGGGAGCGAACGGGAUUAGAUACCCCGGUAGUCCACGCCGUCAACGUUGUGCACUAGACCCGGGAGGUGUUUGACGCCAUCCGGGUCGCAGGGAAACCGCAAGUGCACCGCCUGGGGAGUACGGUCGCAAGACUAAAACUCAAAGGAAUUGACGGGGGCUCACACAAGCGGUGGAGCAUGUGGCUUAAUUCGAGGCAACGCGAAGCACCUUACCCGGGCUUGACAUGCACGGAUUAGCCCCGGGAAACCGGGGUGACGCCCCUUUGGGGGUGAACGUGCACAGGUGCUGCAUGGCUGUCGUCAGCUCGUGCUGUGAAGUGUCGGGUUAAGUCCCUUAACGAGCGAAACUCCUGCCGCUAGUUGCAUCGGUGAUGCCGGGACUCUAGCGGACUGCGGUGUCAACCGGAGGAGGUGGGACGACGUCAGUCAUCAUGACCUAUGCCCGGGCCGGCACACGUGCCUUACAUUGCGCUACGCGCGAAGCGUAAUUCCGCAGGGUAGCAAUUCGCUUGAAGGCCGUUCA
rnacentral:rRNA from 1 species